rnacentral:rRNA from 1 species
CGCUGGCGGCAGGCCUAACACAUGCAAGUCGAGCGCCGUAGCAAUACGGAGCGGCAGACGGGAGAGUAACACGUGGGAACGUACCCUUUGGUUCGGAACAACCCAGGGAAACUUGGGCUAAUACCGGAUAAGCCCUUACGGGGAAAGAUUCAUCGCCGAAGGAUCGGCCCGCGUCUGAUUAGCUAGUUGGUGGGGUAAUGGCCCACCAAGGCGACGAUCAGUAGCUGGUCUGAGAGGAUGAUCAGCCUCACUGGGACUGAGACACGGCCCAGACUCCUACGGGAGGCAGCAGUGGGGAAUAUUGGACAAUGGGCGCAAGCCUGAUCCAGCCAUGCCGCGUGGGUGAUGAAGGCCCUAGGGUUGUAAAGCCCUUUCGGCGGGGAAGAUAAUGACGGUACCCGCAGAAGAAGCCCCGGCUAACUUCGUGCCAGCAGCCGCGGUAAUACGAAGGGGGCUAGCGUUGCUCGGAAUCACUGGGCGUAAAGCGCACGUAGGCGGAUUGUUAAGUCAGGGGUGAAAUCCUGGAGCUCAACUCCAGAACUGCCUUUGAUACUGGCGAUCU